GUGCUUAGAUGCGAUCCAAGAUCAAUUGAGCUUUUUGUUAAAACCCAUAUGCAAAAUAAGGAUCAUUAGAAAGGAGUGCAAUAGCUCAUGGAUAGAUAAGCUCAAAAGUCUGUGGUAAGUUUGAUUUCAACAAUUUUUUUAAGUUAUUAUUGUUUCUUAAAUUUACUGACUUGUUUUUUUAUUCAUAAAACAUAUAAUACUCGAUUGCAGGAGAGAUACAAGGACUAUCCUUUGACUCAUCCGGAACUCGAUUUGGAUUUUAUUGUUGGAGGUUGGAUCUUCCAAGGGACUCAAUAUAAAUCAGGCUUAUGAUAUCUCCAACACUAGGCCAAGGAUAUGACGGACAAACCAUAGUGUAUCGACCUUUGGUUCCUCACAAUUGAAAUCAAGUCAACAAUCCCUAAUCAUCUAGGCGAUUGUACAAGAACAAGUUCAAGCUCAGAUGACCCUGUUUAAUGUUGAGACAGCCCAACUUAGGUCCGAGAUGGAUGCCAUGAGGGAUAAAGUGAAUGUGAUCGAGUGAUUAUUGGUAACCCUUAAUGGUACAUGUGGUCUCCCUCGUUGCACUCCUAGUUCCACCGAAGAUCUGCCUCCUUCUCUUACUUAUGUAC
rnacentral:lncRNA from 1 species